CCUGGGAACUGCAUGUGAUACUGGUGGUGCUAGAAUAUGUGAGAGGGAAGUAGAAUUCCAGGUGUAGCGGUGAAAUGCGUAGAGAUCUGGAGGAAUACCGAUGGCGAAGGCAGCUUCCUGGCAUAAUAUUGACACUGAGAUUCGAAAGCGUGGGUAGCAAACAGGAUUAGAUACCCUGGUAGUCCACGCCGUAAACGAUGUCUACUAGCCGUUGGGGUCCUUUCCGGGAUUCAGUGCCGCAGCUAACGCAUUAAGCACUCCGCCUGGGGAGUACGACCGCAAGGUUGAAACU
rnacentral:rRNA from 1 species